UGGAGAUGACUUCCUCUGGUGUUGCUGUCCAUUGACCCUUCAAAUCAAUGUCCAAGUGAUUGGUCAACACUAUGGAAGGACCUGUAAUUACUCUAUAUAGUUGGGAAACAUGGAAUACCGGUUAUAUCAUUGAUGAUUUUGAUAAUUUCAACUUAAAAGCUACUUUUUCAAUCUUCCUUAAAAUUUUGUAGAGACCAAAGAAUUUUGGUCUCAACUUCUCAAAGGGUCUUCGAUUGAGAGAAUUUUGCUUCUAAGGUCACAACUUGAGAUAUACAUAAUCUCUCACAUUAUACUCAACUUCACGUCUCCCACAAUCAGCAUAAUCCUUCAUUUUGCUUUGAGC
rnacentral:lncRNA from 1 species